rnacentral:lncRNA from 1 species
UUUUUGGCUUAUAUGGAAACUUGUAUAGGGCAACUUUGCUCAGGAAGUGAAUUCAUUGAGUUGCCUCAAAUCAAAGUUGAUCAGCUCUUACCACUUUGGCCCAUGGUUUGUGUAAUUGUUAGAAGUAAAGAAAGAAAAUAAAGAAGUCCCAUCUUUCCAUCUAUGCAUACUCUAACCAAGAGAAGAUGACAGUCAUGUUGAUCCACAGUGAAGGUAUCUUUUAAAAAUAUAACAAAUAUACAUAAAAAACUUGAGAAAGCUGUAUUAAAAAGACUUUGAACCAGUAACCUAAUGCGUUACCGCAUGAGGAUUAUCUAAAGUGCUCAUGGGAAACUUCUAUCUAAUUUAAUGAGUAAUACAUUUUCAAGUUUACUUUUUCCUUUAUAAGAUAAAUCCAUGAAAAAAUCUAUCCAAUGGGUUAAAUUUCUGAAACUUUAAUGGGCCACUACAAUAAGAAUACAUUAUGCAUUAAAGGAAUAAGAACCUGUUGUGUGAGUGCCCUCAGUCUUCCUCCUGUUCAUGCUGCGGGCAAAAAAUGAACAAUAUUGGGCUCUUAUCUGGUAAAUGAGGUAAAGGUUUAAUUCUGUCAUUAAAGAUGUCACAAUGUAGUCCAAAUGAAUUAACAUGAAGAAGUGAAUAGGUUUAAAAUGAAAGAUCAGUAUAAGUAAGCUUGAAGAAGUCUCAGAAUUUCUGUAGUUUUGGUGAGCAGGUUAAUAUUACUUCCAACACUGCUUAUCCCAGCAAACAUAAUUUAAAACUGGGAAGAAACUCCUUUAUUUUACCAUGCUGCUUUCCACAGUGCUAACAAUUACCUGUCUGUUUCAACAUAUUCAUAUAUACCCAGUCCCUGUUUUAUGUGUUAAGGAUAUAAAGUCCAACUCAGUAAGCAGUGAAGUUACUUCACUUGUAAAUUCUCCUUUUUUUUCUGAAGCCCAUUAGUCUCAAUAUUAUGGAAACCUUGCUCUGGAAAUACCUUGGUUUCUUCCCACUCAGGUCUAUUCAGCUGUUGUUAAUAAUUGGUCCACUGAUGAUAUUGUAUUUACUGUUACUUCAGUGCAUUUCCUCUCAUGCCCUAAUCUUUGAGAUACUUUAUCUAUUUGGUUUUUUCUUUAAAUGUUUAAAUUUUAUUGAUGGCUUUUUAAUAUUAUAACUUAAGAACUGAUCAUAAAUCUUUGCCAUAGCCAGUUUAACCAGUCUGUAUUGUAUAUAUGAAAAAAAUCCAAACAAUUUAGCUUCC